rnacentral:rRNA from 1 species
AUUGAACGCUGGCGGCAUGCCUUACACAUGCAAGUCGAACGGCAGCACGGGGCAACCUGGUGGCGAGUGGCGAACGGGUGAGUAAUGCAUCGGAACGUACCUUUCAGUGGGGGAUAACGUAGCGAAAGUUACGCUAAUACCGCAUAUUCUGUGAGCAGGAAAGCAGGGGAUCGCAAGACCUUGUGCUGAUUGAGCGGCCGAUGUCAGAUUAGCUAGUUUGUGAGGUAAAGGCUCACCAAGGCGACGAUCUGUAGCGGGUCUGAGAGGAUGAUCCGCCACACUGGAACUGAGACACGGUCCAGACUCCUACGGGAGGCAGCAGUGGGGAAUUUUGGACAAUGGGGGCAACCCUGAUCCAGCCAUGCCGCGUGAGUGAAAAAGGCCUUCGGGUUGUAAAGCUCUUUCGGCCGGGAAGAAAUCGCACGGGCUAAUACCCUGUGUGGAUGACGGUACCGGAAUAAGAAGCACCGGCUAACUACGUGCCAGCCGCCGCAGUAACAC